GAUGAAGAACGUAGCGAAAUGCGAUAAGAGAUGUGAAUUGCAGAAUUCAGUGAAUCAUCGAAUCUUUGAACGCACAUUGCGCCCCCUGGUAUUCCGGGGGGCAUGCCUGUUCGAGCGUCAUUUCACCACUCAAGCCUCGCUUGGUAUUGGGCAACGCGGUCCGCCGCGUGCCUCAAAUCGACCGGCUGGGUCUUCUGUCCCCUAAGCGUUGUGGAAACUAUUCGCUAAAGGGUGUUCGGGAGGCUACGCCGUAAAACAACCCCAUUUCUAAGGUUGACCUCGGAUCAGGUAGGGAUACCCGCUGAACUUAAGCAUAUCAAUAAGCGGAGGA
rnacentral:misc_RNA from 1 species